GGUUUACCUGUGUGACUGCGUACCUUUUGUAUAAUGGGUCAGCGACUUAUAUUCUGUAGCAAGGUUAACCGAAUAGGGGAGCCGGAGGGAAACCGAGUCUUAAUUGGGCGUUAAGUUGCAGGGUAUAGACCCGAAACCCGGUGAUCUAGCCAUGGGCAGGUUGAAGGUUGGGUAACACUAACUGGAGGACCGAACCGACUAAUGUUGAAAAAUUAGCGGAUGACCUGUGGCUGGGGGUGAAAGGCCAAUCAAACCGGGAGAUAGCUGGUUCUCCCCGAAAGCUAUUUAGGUAGCGCCUCGUGAAUUCAUCUCCGGGGGUAGAGCACUGUUUCGGCUAGGGGGCCAUCCCGGCUUACCAACCCGAUGCAAACUGCGAAUACCGGAGAAUGUUAUCACGGGAGACACACGGCGGGUGCUAACGUCCGUCGUGAAGAGGGAAACAACCCAGACCGCCAGCUAAGGUCCCAAAGUCAUGGUUAAGUGGGAAACGAUGUGGGAAGGCCCAGACAGCCAGGAUGUUGGCUUAGAAGCAGCCAUCAUUUAAAGAAAGCGUAAUAGCUCACUGGUCGAGUCGGCCUGCGCGGAAGAUGUAACGGGGCUAAACCAUGCACCGAAGCUGCGGCAGCGACACUGUGUGUUGUUGGGUAGGGGAGCGUUCUGUAAGCCUGUGAAGGUGGCCUGUGAGGGUUGCUGGAGGUAUCAGAAGUGCGAAUGCUGACAUAAGUAACGAUAAAGCGGGUGAAAAGCCCGCUCGCCGGAAGACCAAGGGUUCCUGUCCAACGUUAAUCGGGGCAGGGUGAGUCGACCCCUAAGGCGAGGCCGAAAGGCGUAGUCGAUGGGAAACGGGUUAAUAUUCCCGUACUUGGUGUUACUGCGAAGGGGGGACGGAGAAGGCUAUGUUGGCCGGGCGACGGUUGUCCCGGUUUAAGCGUGUAGGUGUGUGUUCCAGGUAAAUCCGGUUCACUUUAACACUGAGGCGUGACGACGAGGCACUACGGUGCUGAAGCAACAAAUGCCCUGCUUCCAGGAAAAGCCUCUAAGCAUCAGGUAACAUCAAAUCGUACCCCAAACCGACACAGGUGGUCAGGUAGAGAAUACCAAGGCGCUUGAGAGAACUCGGGUGAAGGAACUAGGCAAAAUGGUGCCGUAACUUCGGGAGAAGGCACGCUGACAC
rnacentral:rRNA from 1 species